rnacentral:rRNA from 1 species
AUUGAACGCUGGCGGCAUGCUUUACACAUGCAAGUCGAACGGCAGCGCGGGCUUCGGCCUGGCGGCGAGUGGCGAACGGGUGAGUAAUGCAUCGGAACGUGCCCAGUAGUGGGGGAUAGCCCGGCGAAAGCCGGAUUAAUACCGCAUACGACCUGAGGGUGAAAGCGGGGGACCGAAAGGCCUCGCGCGAUUGGCGCGGCCGAUGUCGGAUUAGCUAGUUGGUGGGGUAAAGGCUUACCAAGGCGACGAUCCGUAGCUGGUCUGAGAGGACGGCCAGCCACACUGGGACUGAGACACGGCCCAGACUCCUACGGGAGGCAGCAGUGGGGAAUUUUGGACAAUGGGGGCAACCCUGAUCCAGCCAUGCCGCGUGCGGGAAGAAGGCCUUCGGGUUGUAAACCGCUUUUGUUCGGGAAGAAAUCCUCUGGGCUAAUACCCCGGGGGGAUGACGGUACCGGAAGAAUAAGCACCGGCUAACUACGUG